GGGCGAGCCUGCGUGGUGCUGGAUGCUGCAUCAUCCAAGAGCUUAUUGUUAUUAAUUUCGGAUACACAAGGUCAUAGUGGAAGUCAUCAGUCCCUGCUUGUGGAGAUCCACAGUAAGAUCCAGCUGGCACCAUUAUGCUGCAGGGGUGUCUGAAGAGGAGGUGUGGGCAUUGCUAUAAUGUAAAAAUUGCAGAGGAGCACAUUGUGAAUGUGGAGUGAUGGUGAUUCCUUGGGCUUCACUGGUGGUUUGAACCAACAAGGAUAUUGAGACUUGCUGCUGGCCCCUUCAGCUGCUCCUGCUGCAGGAGAGCAGGGAGGUCUGCGCCGGUUUCUAGAGGACUUGUGUCUUGAACC
rnacentral:lncRNA from 1 species